CUUGACAAUGGUGACCUCUACUCCCUUGAAAAUACUUGAAAAAAAUAUUUCCUAUGGGCUAAAGAAUAAGUGAGAGGUAUGUGAACAAUGGAAGAAUAGUUUCCAUUUAAGAUGGCUUCAGGAAAGUGGUGCUUGUAAGAAGAAUCAAGUUCCAAUUAAUGUCAAGAGAUUGUUGUGGCAUCUGGACACAUGACACACUUGAAAACAACACAUUAAAUUUAUACUGCCUGGAAUAGACAAAAAGCUGCCUUGUAAGCAUCAUCAACAAUGCUCAUCAUUGGGGGAGGGGUGUGCUGCAUUAGCUGGGUCCCAUGGAAUUAUAUUUUUAAAUUCUAAACUUUUCACAAAUAUAAAAGGGAUAGGCAUUUCAAAUCUGAAAGGCCACAUGAGGGAGAUAACUUCUAUUAAAUAGCAAUUUUUUCAAGUACGAAAAUGAUUGUUAUGAUUC
rnacentral:lncRNA from 1 species